UACGUAGGGUGCAAGCGUUGUCCGGAAUUAUUGGGCGUAAAGAGCUCGUAGGCGGUCUGUCGCGUCUGCUGUGAAAAUUCGGGGCUUAACCCCGGGCCUGCAGUGGGUACGGGCAGACUAGAGUGCGGUAGGGGAGACUGGAAUUCCUGGUGUAGCGGUGAAAUGCGCAGAUAUCAGGAGGAACACCGGUGGCGAAGGCGGGUCUCUGGGCCGUAACUGACGCUGAGGAGCGAAAGCGUGGGGAGCGAACAGG
rnacentral:rRNA from 1 species